AAAAAAAAAAGAAAAACGAGAAGGGGAAGAAAACGCCGACAACAGUAACCCAAGUUCUCAGACAAAAUUCCUCGCAAAGUUUUUCGUUCAUCUUUUAGCCCUAACCAGUAACCACCAUCAUCGUCUCUCGCGACCGCCUCAAUCUAUCUCAAUCUCUGAAUCAAUCCCUCUUUUUCUCUCUCUCCCGCUCCGUCGCUGUCCGUGAUCUCUUGCUGUCUCCGCUGUCAAUCAGCGAAGCUUUCUUCCUCCGGUGGAAUUGAUCAUCAAUCUCCGGAUUGGAAUUUGAGUCUCUUCUUGGUUCUCGGCGUUGGAUUGAAAUCCGCAAUUCUGCUCGGUGCUGCUGUUUUUGCGCUCAAAAUUAGGGUUUAUAGCGGUCUCGCCUAUGGCUCCUGGGCGUAAAAGAGGAGCGAGCAAGGCCAAGGCCAAGGGGCAGUUGAUUCUCGGUGAUCUGGUUCUUGCCAAAGUCAAAGGCUUCCCUGCUUGGCCUGCCAAGGUCAGCCGGCCUGAAGACUGGGAUCGUGCGCCUGACCCAAAGAAGUACUUUGUUCAGUUCUUUGGAACACAGGAAAUAGCUUUUGUUGCACCGCCUGAUAUCCAAGCCUUCACUAGUGAGGCAAAGAGCAAACUAUUAGCAAGAUGUCAGGGUAAAACAGUCAAGUUCUUUGCUCAAGCUGUGACGGAAAUCUGCACCGCAUUCGAAGAGUUGAAAAAUCACAAGUCAAAUGGUUUGGGGAGUGAAGAUCCCAUGGAUGCUGCUGAGCCUGAUUUGACGAAGGCUGAGAUAGUAGAUGGAACCGAUCAUAUAUUUACUGAGUCUGAUGGAACUGGUAACUUUGAUUCUAGGACGGAUCCAUGCUUCCCCAAAUUAGAUAAGAGUAGUGGUGAAGAGACAAAGGCUGAGAUAGGGACGCGAGAUUCAUCUUCAUUUCUGGGAUCAAAGAUCACAUCCUCGGGUAGCGAGUCACUGGAGAGUGGUUCAUGUGACCCCAAAAUAAAGGAAAAGGAUUUUGCUAAAGGGACUGACGGUGAUGGUUGCAUUGAACAUUUUGGUAAUGGCCAAAAGAAUCUGGCCGCCAACGGUAAGAGGAUAAAGAAGCUAGCAGGUAGCACGGACAGGAAAGGUGAAGAUCCAGUUCAUAGGGACAAAAGCACUAGCUCACAUGUGCCAGAUGGUCGUGUUGCUAGUGGUAAAUCUGAUUCCAAAAAGUCAAAAGGUCUGUUGACAGAGAAAUCUAGCUCCAAAGUGUCUGGAGGUAAGCAUGAAAAUUCACCUGGCUUCAAGGGUGGGGUUUCCGGCAAGAAAAGGAGGCUUGAGAGUGAACACCCUGCACCAAGAGUAGAUGAAAGCUCACGUGCUGCUAAAAAGCCGCGAUGUGAAGGUACGAAUGACAAAGAAAAGUAUGAAAUUGAUAAUAAAUCUGAUUCUGCUGGGACUGUAUCAGAUAUGAAGCGUGCAAUUGUUUUAGGAUUAAGUGCUCAUGGAGGAGAUUUACAAUAUGAUAAAGAAGUAGUUGCAUAUACAAAGCGCCGCAGACAAACAGUGGAGCAUGCUACCUCUCCUCCUGGGUAUCAUGAUAAAUCCGAGAAAGGUCAACUGGAACAGAAAGACCAUUCCUCUUCUGUUAGUGAUAAAUCCGGGAAAGGUAAUCUGGAACAGAAAGACAUUUCCUCUUCUGUUAAUAAUGCUAAGGUCCCAGGUGCACAGUCGCUGAAAAAACGGAGGGCUGUUUGUAUUUAUGACGAAGAUGAUGAUGAUGAUCCAAAAACCCCUUUACACGGAAGACAAGCCGCUGUUCCCAAAGCAACAUCAGUUUUGACUGAUGGUCCGAAAAGUGUUAAGAUAUCUGCUGGAUGUACAGAGAGUACUGGACUAAGGAAAGGACCUCUGCGUAAACAUCGUGAGGAUGCUUCACGCGUAUUAUCAGAUAAUGUGGAGAAUUCUACUAACCGCUUACACAUGGUAAAACCCAUCAGUGAAUUGCCGCCAAAAGAUAUCAAGCAGAUCUUGCGAUCUCCUAAGAUGUCUCCUCAGCUGGUUUCGACGAACAAGUAUGUUGCAGGACAGCAGAAAGCGACAAAAUCAGAUGUCAAAGUUUCUGGUGUUGUGAUGGCAAAGAAGCCUAAGAGUGAUUCUUGUAAGGAGGCAGCUACGGAAUCUGAUAAAGUAAGCUCUUCUCAGUUUCAGCCAGAAAAUCAGAGACACAAACCAGCUUCAAUUGCAGAUAGGCCAAUAGUGGUUCCAAAAGCUGCGCUACGUUUGAAUGAUGCUGGUGUUUCAAGAGACACUUCUGAGGACUUGUCUGCUGGCAUGCUUGAUAUUACUCGAGAAAACUGGAGUGCUCCAUAUAUCAGUUCGAGGACCCCAGAUUCGGCUGCAUCUAUGAAGGAACUAAUUGCAGCUGCACAGGCCAAAAGAAAACUAGCACAUUCACAAAAUUCAGUUUUUGGGAGUUUGAACCCUAGUUUCUUAAGCGUCAGUGAUACACAGAUGAGGAGCCAUAGCCCAUUUAUGGUUCAGAAUGCUUCAGCCUCAGCUGCCAUCCCAAUGCCUUUAGUUGUUCAAGGACAUCAACAAGAUUCUUCUCCGUCAAAUCAUGGGCAUCAGUCCUCAUCAAGAAAUCGAAAUGAGACUGAUGAUAAUGAAGAGAGAAGACUUAGUUCAGGGCAUAAGUCAGUUGGAAGUUCACUUAGUGGUGGCACGGAGGCUGCUGUUUCUCGGGAUGCUUUUGAGGGCAUGAUAGAGACCUUAUCAAGAACUAAGGAAAGUAUCGGACGUGCAACACGGCUAGCAAUUGACUGUGCCAAGUAUGGGAUCGCUAGUGAGGUGGUGGAACUUCUCAUACGGAAACUGGAAAGUGAACCUCACUUCCAUCGUAAAGUGGACUUGUUCUUUCUCGUUGACUCGAUCACCCAGUGUUCACACAACCAAAAAGGAAUUGCUGGUGCUUCGUACGUUCCCACAGUGCAAGCGGCUUUGCCACGUCUUUUAGGUGCUGCUGCUCCUCCAGGGACCGAUGCUCGUGAUAACCGUCGUAAAUGUCUGAAGGUUCUGAAGUUGUGGCUUGAUAGAAAAAUAUUCCCUGAAUCUCUUCUUCGUCGUUACAUUGAUGAUAUUGGAGCUUCUGGUGAUGAUGCAACCAUUGAGUUCUCCCUGCGACGUCCUUCUAGAUCGGAGCGUGCUGUAGAUGAUCCUCUUAGGGAAAUGGAAGGGAUGCUUGUUGAUGAGUAUGGCAGCAAUGCAACUAUUCAGCUGUCUGGGUUUUUUUCUUCUCAUACUUUCGAAGAUGAUGAAGAAGAUGACGAUCUUCCAGCAUCACAAAAGGAAAAAAUUACAUUUGCUGGGGAAUCUUUCAAUGCUUUAGAUGACUUGGAAGUACGUGAUACCUCGAGUGAUAGACGCCGAGUUUUGGAGGAUGUAGAUCAUGAACUUGAAAUGGAAGAUGUAUCAGGUCAGCGGAAAGAUUUAGCGUCUUCCUCUUUCUGCGAGAAUGAGACAAAGGAGCAGUCACUGGAUGUUAGGGAACUGAUCACAGAAAAGACAAUCGAGGUGCCUCCUCUUCCAGAGGGUUCUCCUCCGCUACCUCGUGAAUCACCUCCAUCCCCUCCUCCUCUACCUCCUUCUCCCCCACCUCCAUCCCCACCCCCUCCGCCUUCAUCUCCACCUCCAUUGCUGCCACCACCACCUCCCACGGCGCAAUUUCCACCUCUUCCUCCACCUCCGUCUCAGCCUCCACCACCACCGCCCCUUUCACCUCCACCUUCGCCGCCACCUCCACCUCCACCGCCUGCACAAUCUAUAGCUUUACCACCAUCAUUAACAAGUCAACCGUCCAUAGCCAGCCAUCAUCAGUUACCACGUCAACUAGGAUUUCCUCUUCCAGCAUAUCCAUUAUCGCAUCAAACAUACCCAGCAUCCAUGCAGCAAGACCGCUGUAGCAUUUUCACUGGUGAUCAAAUUGUCCAAGGGCCUGGAAGUUCUUCACGUGGAAGUCAUGUUGAGGGCGUUGCAAAAACUGAGUUUUUCAUGCAGCAGUCAUCUAAUUUUUCUCCAGCUGGAGUGUGCAGCUCCAGAGAGCCUUCAGCAUUUACUUCCUCCAGACAACUAGAAUUUGGGAACAGCGAUGUACUUUUUAAUUCUGAAGCUUCUUUGCAGAACCAACGGUUUCAGCCGAACACCCCUCUGUCCCAAAGACCUAUGGUUAGGAAUCUGCCUUCAGCACCGUCCAGUCAUUUUCCGUAUUCAAACCAUGUUCAAUCACAAUCCCAGCAUUCCUACACUCAUCCUUACUCUUUCCCACCUCAACGCGAUGAUGGACGACGAUAUAGAAAUGAGGAGCCAUGGCGGAUGCCUUCAAGUGGACAUAGUGCAGAAAACCAGAAUGGUGCUUGGAUGCAUGGAAGAAAUCCACAUCCAGGCCUUCCCAGAGUGACAGACAGUUUCUAUCGGCCACCUCUAGAACGUCCACCUUCAGUGACAAUGAGCUAUCAGCCUUCUGCUGCUAGUAAUUUGCCACCUGUGUCUGCAAUUCCAGGUCAUGCUGCUUCCCAGAAGCUACCAUCUCGGCCAGACAUACCUACCGCUAAUUGUUGGAGGCCAGCUUGAAGGAAAGGUAGAAUUUCGGUUGCCUGCUCCUGUUAGUAUCAAUGGAAAAGAAGCUGCGAGAUUAACAAGGAACAAGAAGUAUUGCGAGUCCAGCCAGUCCAUUUCACAAGUAUCUCCAUAUUGCUAUCUUGUGCACUGCUGAUCUGAAGAAGUAUAUCGAAGACUUGUGAGGUACUGCUCCUUAUUGCUUGUCUGAAAAUAUAUGUUCUCCACUCAAGGCAUAUGUGUUUUAGUAACAUAAAGAGGUUUUGGUUCUUAAUUAUGGUGAGCACUUGAAGAAGUGUUUUUACCGUUUGAUUUCUCAAAAGAGCCAUUUAUUUUUCAUUUUUUUUGCAAUUACAUAUUCGAGAUGUUAGAGGUUUGAAAGAAAGUUUGGCCUUUACCUAGUUUCAAAUUAUGUUGGCAACUUGGGAAAGGAUUUGAGUUACUUGGCUGUGAGCUUAUGGUGUUCCUUGCUAGGCUUGGGACAGGCUGCUACUCCUAUGUCAGUGUGUUCAAAACAACAGCCUUCUUAACAUGUUUUACUAAGCAUGUGUUUGCAGCUGCCUCUCACGCCUGUCGUGUUUAAUUGUCAUGAACUUACCCGUUUAUGUGGUACUGGCCAUCGGGGUUGCACAUGUGAAUAUGUGUGCUAUUUUUAGGAUUUGCUCAAUAGCUUACAAUCUUUGGUUUUGAGAAAGCCUUUCUCAUAUAUAUCUCUUCAAAGUGGUGUAGCCCUUCUUUUAAAUAUGGGUUUGUGGCGUUGAUGCGACUUACUUGUUCUUUGACUAAUGUCUCUGGGUUUCAAUCCCUAUUUUCCAUAGGUUUUUUACCGCACCUUGUCCUAACCACUAGAUAUGGUUAAGAUAAACAAGCCUCUUCUUUAGCAAUCCAUUCCAGUCCCCGUUUUUUUGUUUUUUGUUUUUAUUUUUAUAAAUUUUACUCACAUCUUUUUUUAUAUAAACAAGUCCAUAGAUAAUUAUUAAUUAUUUAUUCAUUAAUAGUAUAUAUAGUAGUUACUUUUUAUAGUUUUAUUUACUUGAUUUCAAUUAUUCUUUUGCACUCCUUAUGUGUUUGUUUGUAUUGCUUUUAUUGGACAAGUCGAAGCACUUAAUUUGCUCCAGUUAGGGUCUGAAGAUUGUAAUUCAGUGCUUAUUUUGCUCAAUGUAUAAGCUCCCUCUCGACCAUUCCUAUAUUAAUUUGUCAAACCACUGCUUGCUUGUUCUGUGAAGUACAUUCAUGUUGGGUAACAUACUUAAAUUAAGUCGUAGAUGGGAAUCAGGGACAUAAUCUCAUCACAUGUUUCACGAUGAACAGCAAGAAUUAUGCUUUAGAACAUAACAAAUUGAUGUGGACAAAGAAGUAUCAGUGAUUGAGAGGGAUUCAGUAUUACAUGUUUAAUCUCUGGUUCUUGAUAGAGUCGACUAUUUUGAGGGUAUUAAGUACUAGCAACUUGCAGUAUAUGCAAAUUCUCAUCUCUAAGAGCAUUCACCAGAGAAAUUACAUAGUUGCAGCACCAGAUGGUCGAGUUCACUGUUUUUUGUCUGGUCAAACUACCCCAUCUACGGUUAGCUUCUUGGUAUAUGCAGUAAGUCGCCUGUUGUUUGUGUUGUCUCAUUAAAUUUUGGGGGAUAGAUUUCUAUAUACUUGUGUUUGUGCUGACUUCAGUUGCGAGAACAUCUCUUCUUAAAGGUGUUGAGUGACUUGUGUCGUGCAACAGGCUUUUGAUACAAAGUUGAACCACCUCGAGCGAUGGGAAUCAUGGUGGUGGGAAAUAAGUGUGGAUGAUACUCAUGGUCGGAUUAUGCAAAAGCUUGAUGUAAGAAACUUCUCUUGUUCUUACACUCUUGUCUUCUUUGUAGUGUACAGUGGACUACAAAGAACAUUAAGAGCACAUAUAACGGUAUGUUCCCUGUAAACAUAGACAAUGUGAUUCUGUAAGAUAGGUGGAUCGUCUACUUUGAAAUAGCUACAACAAAACCCUGGUUUAUUGCGAGUUGGUUUUUCAGGUGUUGAAGUUGUGAGAUUGGUUCGGGAGCUGAGAGUUGCUGGUCUUCGGGAACAGACUAGGCUUUAGAAGAUUGAGAUCUCUGCUUGACAGUCGAGUUUCUCAAGUUCGGAGGUCAGUUUUUUCGUCAUUGAUAAACAUUAAUUAGGACUACCUUGUUCCGACUCUUUUAACAGAGGGAAAGUAAAAUAAGGCCAAAUAUGGUGUCGGUGAAUGUUGGUAUAUUAUGCCAGAAAUGUUGUUUUACAAAACUAAUCAAUAGGGCUUUCAAUUAACAGAGUUUAAAAUU